ACACAGAAAAUCAGGGCAGGUCAGGAAGAGAGAAAAAGUCACAAACGCAUCACAAAUCCACAGAGCCUGGAGCACACUGGACAAGGCUAGGUGCUAGCUGCUAAAACUAAACUGUCAUUAAAGCAAAGCAAUAUUUGUUUA